CACAAGUGAAAGAAUUUGUGUUGAAUUUUAAAACCAGGUAAUGAACUGCUCCUACUGGAAUUCCUCACUGUCCAUUCAGUGCAUUGAAAUGCUCUGUCCCUCUCCUCUCUUCUUUUUUUAACAUAUCUUUGUUCUUGUCUUCUUGGUCCUCCUGCUCCCCAGGGUGCCCCUCUGCUCGAAUGCCGCUGCUGUCACUGUCACACCUGUACCACCCACCGUCCUUCCUUCCUCCCGUUGCACUCUGUUAGCCCUGGAGUCCAGAUCGACCCCCUGGAGAUGGACGCCGACAUGCACUCCCUGGGCAGCACCACCUGGCUCUUGGACCAGCGGGACUCCAACAGGCGCCCCGUCAGCACCAAGUACGAGACCACCAUAUUCUGAGGCCGGAUCCCCACAGCCGCCCCUCUGCACCCCCCCUCAGUACUUUCCUGCCCCCCUCUACUCUGCAUCCGGUUCUCUAUUUAUCUCUCUCACACACAAACACUCACACAUAUAUACAUGUGAGCCCCGUGCCUUCUCACUGUGAUGGUAUAGCAUCCCUCAGGGCUGCCUACUCCUGCACCCUCCUUUGCCCUGCCCCAGCGACCCACACCAACCUCCUACCUGCCAUGACAAACACUCCUGCGGCUCCCCCGUGCCUCCCCCAACACCCCCCGGCAGCCUCCCUCGCCUGUUGCUGCUGCAGCCAAUGGCGGAGCCCUGGAACGGAUGAUCCCGGACUGAUCUCAUUUUACAGUGGCCCUGCUCUCUCAACCAAACUGCCUCUUCCUCCUCAUCCUCCUCUUCCUGACAACUUGCAUCUGCCUCCAAAUCCCCCGAUAGCUCCCAGAGCCUGUCCUGUCUUACCAGGCAUCUACCACUGUGAGGCACUAUGAGGAGGCUGCUUUGCUAGCAUGGGAUGCAAGAAGGACAAUUAAUCAAUGAAAGACAAAACAGCAACAUGCAGCAAACAACCUUUUUUUCUACGCAUUUGUACAGUACUCAUAGUAAGACCACAAUGGAUCGGUCACAAAUCUAAUCACUGAUGUCUGAACUCUAAACGGACCAAGAACUGAGACCUCGUACACUCACACACUGGAGGACAACUUUCCUACACUUUACUGAGGACAAUAGCCCUACUUCAUUUCGGUUAUCUGUAAUCAACUAAAAAAAGAAAAAAAAACACCUUCCCGUGACCUCUUCUGAACACAAACACCCAACAACUGCACGCCUCCACCCUGCUUCUAAAAGACUUUUUAAAAAAGAGAGAGAAACACUUUUGAUUUCCUGGUGUAUUAAGUUGACUGUGACUGGCUGGAUGACGUUGUUCUAAAGAUGGUACAGGUUUGUCAGGAUGAGUCUUUGCUCUGGCCUUGUACUGCCCAGUGCCUCUCAGCAUUCAUGGUAGCACUGAGAGCCUGCAAAUCACAUCUUCUUGUCAAUUUAAAGAAAAAAAAAGAAACACUGUGUUAAAAAAAAAAUGGCACUAUCCCUUUUAAAACCUUUUCUUUUCUUAUGGUGCAAACGGGACAUUAGUGCAUUUUGUGAUACUUUUUGAUAGACGGGGCAAACUGAAACACUUUGGGACAGAAUGAGAAGGGAUCAUGAAGUAUCCCGACAUUAUUACAACCAGAGGCAAAAAAGCAAAGAAAACAAUAAAAGGUGUACUGGCAUUGGUUUCACAUUUCACAAUUUUGGUAAUAUAAACCUAAAAAAAAAAAACACUUUCAAAGAGAUUUAAUUUAACUUGAGUGUUUUAAUGAGCCCUGAGCACAAUUUAGUGCACCUUUCCCUACAUAGCAUCUUAUUAUCAUGAUUACAUGGGUAGGUAUCCAUGCUGUUUCGCACCAAUUUAGAAUUAGGUACAGUACACGCAAAGUAUGUCACUUGAAAAUAAACAGCGGUGAAAAGAUUUAAUUCCACUACAUUAAAAGAGCCAAAUCUAAACGUUGCUCUGGUGUCGUAUUAAUGCGAAUGGAUUUGUUAUGCUGAGAACAUGACACCAUUUUUUUUUUUUUUUUUUUGUAAAGGAUUUUCCUUCUGCACUGUGAUUAAAAAAAUACUCGCCGUGGAGUGGACACAUAUCUGUGGGUUCUCCCCUCUGUGUGCACUAGCUACCGUGCGUGCUGUACGCCUUCUUCCUGUCUGUCCUCAUGGGAGUUUGGACUGUUACUGUUACAUCACUGGCCACUGUCCUUGUUUCUGUGUGCUGCAGGAGAAGUGAGGGAUUGAGCUCCUCUCCAGAAGAGUGUGUCUGGAGACUGUUAAGAUGUAACUGGUCUGUGUGCGGUACCGUGGCUGUGUCGUUGCCACUCUGUUCUGUUAACUGUUAGCUUCCACUGACGAUGCAUGUUGGCAGUGUUUUUUGUGUUCUGUACCCUUUGAUGCACUUGGCCUGAGCAGUCUUUGUAUGUACUGUAGCAGUGUCUCGUCUCCUCUCAUUCAUCUGCCAUUCGCUUUUUAUGUUCCCUCCCCUCUUCGUUACAUGCCAAUACAAGCGAUUCAUCCCCAUCCCGACAUUUUGCCAUUGUCGUCAUUCCUCCAACAUUUUUGUCACGUAUGUUCUUCCAUUUUGUGUGUCACCAAGACAACCUGCUCUAGAAUGGAUGCAUAAUAUAAAAGCAUUACACUUUAAUGAGCAGCAGCUAUUUAAAGCAAGUUUUGGUGGCAUGAUAUGGCUGUGCAUGUACCAGUCUUUUUAACAUUGGUGUUUUCCCUGUGUAG
ensembl:lncRNA